rnacentral:rRNA from 1 species
UGAUCCAGACUUUGAUUCUGGCUCAGGAUAAACGCUGGCGGCGCACAUAAGACAUGCAAGUCGAACGGACUUAACCAUUAGUUUACUAUUGGAGCGGUUAGUGGCGGACUGGUGAGUAACACGUAAGCAACCUGCCUAUCAGAGGGGAACAACAGUUAGAAAUGACUGCUAAUACCGCAUAUGCCUAAGUACCACAUGGUACAAUAGGGAAAGGAGCAAUCCGCUGAUAGAUGGGCUUGCGUCUGAUUAGAUAGUUGGUGGGGUAAAGGCCUACCAAGUCGACGAUCAGUAGCCGGACUGAGAGGUUGAACGGCCACAUUGGGACUGAGAUACGGCCCAGACUCCUACGGGAGGCAGCAGUCGGGAAUAUUGCGCAAUGGAGGAAACUCUGACGCAGUGACGUCGCGUGCAGGAAGAAGGUUUUCGGAUUGUAAACUGCUUUAGACAGGGAAGAAACAAGACAGUACCUGUAGAAUAAGCUCCGGCUAACUACGUGCCAGCAGCCGCGGUAAUACGUAGGGAGCGAGCGUUAUCCGGAUUUAUUGGGUGUAAAGGGUGCGUAGACGGGAGAACAAGUUAGUUGUGAAAUCCCUCGGCUUAACUGAGGAACUGCAACUAAAACUAUUUUUCUUGAGUACUGGAGAGGAAAGUGGAAUUCCUAGUGUAGCGGUGAAAUGCGUAGAUAUUAGGAGGAACACCAGUGGCGAAGGCGACUUUCUGGACAGAAACUGACGUUGAGGCACGAAAGUGUGGGGAGCAAACAGGAUUAGAUACCCUGGUAGUCCACACUGUAAACGAUGGAUAUUAGGUGUAGGGAAUAAUAAAUUCUCUGUGCCGUCGCAAACGCAAUAAGUAUCCCACCUGGGGAGUACGGCCGCAAGGUUGCAACUCAAAUGAAUUGACGGA